rnacentral:rRNA from 1 species
UACGAAGGGGGCGAGCGUUGUUCGGAUUUACUGGGCGUAAAGGGCGCGCAGGCGGUCAUUUUUGUCGAGUGUGAAAGCCCCGGGCUUAACCUGGGAACUGCGCUCGAAACGGGAUGACUAGAGAUCGGGAGAGGAGAAUGGAAUUCCCGGUGUAGCGGUGAAAUGCGCAGAUAUCGGGAAGAACACCCGUGGCGAAGGCGGUUCUCUGGGACGGUACUGACGCUGAGACGCGAAAGCGUGGGGAGCGAACAGG